rnacentral:rRNA from 1 species
GAUGAACGCUAGCUACAGGUUUAACACAUGCAAGUCGAGGGGCAGCAUUUCAGUUUGCUUGCAAACUGGAGAUGGCGACCGGCGCACGGGUGAGUAACACGUAUCCAACCUGCCGAUAACUCGGGGAUAGCCUUUCGAAAGAAAGAUUAAUACCCGAUGGUAUAAUCAGACCGCAUGGUCUUGUUAUUAAAGAAUUUCGGUUAUCGAUGGGGAUGCGUUCCAUUAGGCAGUUGGUGAGGUAACGGCUCACCAAACCUUCGAUGGAUAGGGGUUCUGAGAGGAAGGUCCCCCACAUUGGAACUGAGACACGGUCCAAACUCCUACGGGAGGCAGCAGUGAGGAAUAUUGGUCAAUGGGCGCAGGCCUGAACCAGCCAAGUAGCGUGAAGGAUGACUGCCCUAUGGGUUGUAAACUUCUUUUAUAUGGGAAUAAAGUUUUCCACGUGUGGAAUUUUGUAUGUACCAUAUGAAUAAGGAUCGGCUAACUCCGUGCCAGCAGCCGCGGUAAUACGGAGGAUCCGAGCGUUAUCCGGAUUUAUUGGGUUUAAAGGGAGCGUAGGUGGACAGUUAAGUCAGUUGUGAAAGUUUGCGGCUCAACCGUAAAAUUGCAGUUGAUACUGGCUGUCUUGAGUACAGUAGAGGUGGGCGGAAUUCGUGGUGUAGCGGUGAAAUGCUUAGAUAUCACGAAGAACUCCGAUUGCGAAGGCAGCUCACUGGACUGCAACUGACACUGAUGCUCGAAAGUGUGGGUAUCAAACAGG